rnacentral:rRNA from 1 species
GGGUCCGGACACACUGAGGAUUGACAGACAGUAUUCAUGGGCGAGCUCCUCUUCGAUCAUAUUUCAAAUGGUGCGAGGUUCUUUCAUGAUUGUGUGAUAGGUGGUGCAUGGCCGUUCUUAGUUCGUGGAGUGAUCUGUCUGCUUAAUUGCGUUUCAUAUUUACGAAUGUCGCUUACGUGAUUGCUGCAGACCUCGUCUCCUCUGGAGGCGACGCGUCUCUUCAACUCACUCGCACAUUCUCUUGAACGCAACGAGCGUGACCGCAACCUCUUGUUGUGUAUACCAAGUGUGGCGCUGGCUUGCCAGCUCGCACUCCAAUGCACGUAUUUUGGCCACAUUGUCUCGCGGCGCCUCGGCGUUUGCAGCAAUGUCCAAAUAAACUUGAGGGACCGCUGUAACAAUUCUUUUAAACCAGAGGAAGGUUGCGGCAAUAACAGGUCUGUGAUGCCCUUAGAUGUCCCGGGCUGCACACGUGCUACAAUGAUCAUACAGGAGCAUCUUUGCAAUACCA